rnacentral:rRNA from 1 species
AGUCUGCAACUCGACUCCAUGAAGUCGGAAUCGCUAGUAAUUCGAGAUCAGCAUGCUCGGGUGAAUGCGUUCCCGGGCCUUGUACACACCGCCCGUCACACCACGAAAGUCGGUUUUACCCGAAGCCGGUGAGCUAACUCGCAAGAGAAGCAGCCGUCUACGGUAGGGCCGA